GAUGAACGCUAGCGGCAGGCUUAAUACAUGCAAGUCGAGGGGCAGCACAGGUAGCAAUACUGGGUGGCGACCGGCAAACGGGUGCGGAACACGUACACAACUUACCUUCUGGUGGGGGAUAGCCUUUGGAAACGGAGAUUAAUACCCCAUAUUAUAUAUGAGCUGCAUGGUUUGUAUAUUAAAGAUUUAUUGCCGGAAGAUGGGUGUGCGUAUGAUUAGGUAGUUGGCAGGGUAACGGCCCACCAAGCCGACGAUCAUUAACUGGUGUGAGAGCACGACCAGUCAAACGGGAACUGAGACACGGGCCCGACUCCUACGGGAGGCAGCAGUAAGGAAUAUUGGUCAAUGGACGGAAGUCUGAACCAGCCAUGCCGCGUGGAGGAUGAAGGUCCUCUGGAUUGUAAACUUCUUUUAUAGGGGGCGAAAAAAGGGAAUUCUUUCUCGUCUGACGGUACCCUAUGAAUAAGCACCGGCUAACUCCGUGCCAGCCGCCGCGGUAACAC
rnacentral:rRNA from 1 species